rnacentral:rRNA from 1 species
AGCGAACGCUGGCGGCAGGCUUAACACAUGCAAGUCGAACGGGCGUAGCAAUACGUCAGUGGCAGACGGGUGAGUAACGCGUGGGAACGUACCGUUUGGUUCGGAACAACCCAGGGAAACUUGGGCUAAUACCGGAUAAGCCCUUACGGGGAAAGAUUUAUCGCCGAAAGAUCGGCCCGCGUCUGAUUAGCUUGUUGGUGAGGUAACGGCUCACCAAGGCGACGAUCAGUAGCUGGUCUGAGAGGAUGAUCAGCCACAUUGGGACUGAGACACGGCCCAAACUCCUACGGGAGGCAGCAGUGGGGAAUAUUGGACAAUGGGCGCAAGCCUGAUCCAGCCAUGCCGCGUGAGUGAUGAAGGCCCUAGGGUUGUAAAGCUCUUUGUGCGGGAAGAUAAUGACGGUACCGCAAGAAUAAGCCCCGGCUAACUUCGUGCCAGCCGCCGCCGU